rnacentral:lncRNA from 1 species
AGCUGGAGUAAAGAAUGUUGAAGGCUACCUAGUACCUGCAAUGGUUUAUCUUUGACCAAAGAUCUAGUGGGGGUUGCCACAUAUAAGAAUUGUAGAAGAAUAUCACACCCGGAAUAUACAAGUACACGGUAAAGUAGUCUUGAUCUUGGACCGAAAAUAAUGAGAACAAGGGCCCCAUAAGUUUGAUUCCAAAUUGAAACCACAUCAUGGAAAAGUCACUUGUCCUACAACUUCCCAUGCCAUGUGGAAAGUGGAUGGCAACAUUUAUAAUUACUACGAUGAUGACUGCUUGGUGAGUCAUCCAAGUUUGAAUGUAAAUUGAACUGAAGUCAGUAAAAUUUGGAAAUUUUGGAUUAUAAGGGACCCAAAACUUGAUUACAAAUUGGAGCCAACUUUGAGAUACUUACAUUUUCCGUUGGUCGUGGUUUGUCCAUUUGAAAGUGGUGGGCAAUAAUGAUAGUUUCUAUUAUGAUUUUUUAGUAAAAGUUGUAGAAUCGGGAGACACUUCUAAUACUGCUAGAUAGGGUUAAUGACAUACUGAAACUAUCAACAAAUACCACUUAAAAUAUUACUGCAUUAUGCAAAGAUUGAAACCAUAAACAGUUCCACCUGGUUGUAGUUUAUAUUCUUUUAUGAUCUAUGAAGAAAACAACAAGGAUCCAACUUACUUUUCAGCAAAAAUAGAAUUCAUUUCUCAUAAUUUAGUUCUUCCCUUUAUCUUAUUGACUAAUUUGAUUUUUAACCCUUCUUUGACUAGGUUAAUUAAAUGGGUUUGUUGUUUCAUACCAAUGG